GACGAACGCUGGCGGCGUGCUUAACACAUGCAAGUCGAGCGGUAAGGCCCUUUCGGGGGUACACGAGCGGCGAACGGGUGAGUAACACGUGGGUGACCUGCCCUCAGCUCUGGGGAUAAGCCCUGGGAAACCGGGUCUAAUACUGGAUAUGACUCCAUGACGCAUGUUGUGGGGUGGAAAGCCUUGUGCGGCUGAGGAUGGGCCCGCGGCCUAUCAGCUUGUUGGUGGGGUGANGGCCUACCAAGGCGACGACGGGUAGCCGGCCUGAGAGGGCGACCGGCCACACUGGGACUGAGACACGGCCCAGACUCCUACGGGAGGCAGCAGUGGGGAAUCUUGCGCAAUGGGCGAAAGCCUGACGCAGCGACGCCGCGUGAGGGAUGACGGCCU
rnacentral:rRNA from 1 species